GACGCUUGAUCAACUGUCUAAAAAAUACGGAAAUUUUAGACGGAUUAUUUUCGACGCUUAAAUACGUGGAAAUUUAACAAACAAAACGCGUCAAAAAAAUAAGAGGAAAAAUACAUCAGAUAAACCGCCCGAACCAAAAAAUUGAAGAAAACCGCUUCUUAAUUCAGUGAAAAGAAUCCUGCCCACAUUCAUCCUUUUCAUUUGUUCUCAGCGCCUUUAACCUAGCAACAUACAUUCAUCCUCUCAUCCUCUAAUCCUCUCAUCCUCUCAAGUGCGCCACCAUUCUCCCUCCGGCGGCCAGUACCAGCACCGAAAAACAUCCACCGACCUUCACCGGCCGGUCAAAUUGCAGAAAUCAGGUAUACUCGAGCAUCUGAUUUUUCUUCUCUAAUUUUGCACCGAAAUUCUGGGUUUGUUUGGUUACUGUUUGGGUUGAAUUUGGGUAGCGAAUUGAUGUGCUGAUAUUUCUAUGUUUGUUUUACCCUAAUUGUCUAGAUUAUCAAAUUGAUUUUACCCUAAUUGUUAUACAUGUUUGAUGUCAGUGCUUGUUAAGAAUUCUAAUACACUAAUUUGCAGAAAAAUGAUGUACUUCUACUUUGUGAAUUUCAUUGGCUGGCUUUUUGUUUGGUGUGUUAAAAUAAAGGAACUCAACUUUAAUCUUGUGCUGUACUUAUUUUUUCUAUUGGUUUUUUGUUGCAACGUUUUAAUGUUCAGAUAGUUCUAUUACAAUUUCCUUAUUGCUGGACAUAUUCUUGUGUUAAAACCUAAGGACAUAUUCUUUAAUCUUGCGUUAAAACCUAAGGACAUAUUCUGUCUGAAUUGUCAAAAGAUGGAACCUUUUGUCCACUUGGAGCACAAAAUGGGAAGCGUGUUGAUGAUCAUUGCAAGCAAAGGAUCAUUAAAACGGUUUGGGUAUGCAUUAAACAUUCUUUAUUAUUAUUAUUUGAUAUUACUAUUCUCAACAUAUGCGUAUUUGACAAAGGAGAUUCUCACCAUAUGUAUUGGAUAAAUUUGUGUUACCUAAUACAAAAGAGUUUCGUUGAAUGAUAUUGUCACAUAUAAAUAUGAAGUGGAAGCAUUACAAGUGGGAGUUUCAAAGGGACUAUUAUCAACCUAAUGUGACAAAGAGAAGAUAAUUGAGAAUAUGCCUAAAAAUGUGAUUAAAGAGCAGUGGAUUAGUUUGGUUUCUUACUGGACCUCAGAAAAGUUCAAGGUAUUUGUACAUAGUGUAUUAUAACAAAUUUAACAUAAAUUUAAGUUUUAUAUUCACCAAGUUACAACCUAAUAAUUUAACAUUGACAAAAAUUAUCAACACUGGGAAAAAGAGCUCGUGAAAUACAUAAUCAUGUACAUACUACAGGGUCAAAGAGUUAUGCUCAAAUGGAAAACUGAAUUUGUAAGUAUGGAUACAAUUAUUUAUGAUGCCUAUAUUUGUGAUAAGGUUAUUUCUUUGGGAUAAUCCGUUACUUUUAAAUAGGUUAAGUUGAAUCACAGAGGACCUAGUGGGCUAGAAAUGUGGAAACGUACACACACUACAAAGAGUGGUGGUUGUGUAGAGGGUACAUCCACUCAAGAAUUCAUGGUGUAUUAGAGUAGUGAAUUGGAAACAUUUAUCAUUAUGACAAAUGUGAUUGCAUAUUUCAUUUAUACUUUUGUAUUGUUAUAGGACAUUGCUGAAAGUAGGGUUAAUGAACGUUUACGUGAUUAGAAACAACCUCGUGAGGUGAUUGAGACAGAAGUUUUUAGUGAGAUGAUGUAUCAACAAGACAAACCUAAUCAGCGUGUUGUUGGUUAUGGUCACGGGGUUAGUAGAUAUCACAUGUUUGGUAUUGAAGCUCAAUUACGAAACAAGAUAAGUGAUUGUGGUGGUACUUCAAGUGAUGUUAUGGGGCUUAAAUCCUACCUAUUGUCUGUUGAGGGAAAAAGUGAUGAGGUUAUGAGAAAAAAUGAUGAGAUUAUUUCCCAAUUACAAAAAAGAAAUGAUGAGGUUACUUCUCAGCUUUUGAAAAAAAAAAUGAAGAAGUUGAAGAACUAAGAGCUCAAAAUCAAAAAAUUCUCACUCAGCUUGUAUUAGUCUUAGAUCAAUUACAACAAAAUCAAAGGACAAUUGGAUGAAGUAGAUAUGAUAAUGACUUAUAUAAAGUUUUUUAUAUUCAUGGGGAGUUUGGUAAUUAAGAUUUUUGUAGCUGAUGUUCAUAUUAUGACCAACAAAUCAUCUUUUGCGAAGGUUUUGACACUAGAGUGGAAAUUGCAACAUAAUGUAAACAAUUCUGCAGGCCUUCAACUUUUGACAAACUUUUAAAUUUUAAAUUUUGGUCUCUUAAACAUCGAUAAAUAUAUAUAUGUAUGUGAAUAUUGAUCAAAUUAGGCACCUAUGUUGCUUGGACUUUUUUGACCAAGCUACAAAAACUUAAGGUCAAAGCUACAUCAACGAAUGUAUGUGCGUAGAUGAAUAUCAAAUGCUAAUACUUUUGUGGAUAUGAUUGAUUUGGUAUGAUGUUUGUUAGUAAUUAUGUAUGUUUGAUGAAUUUAAUAUAGUCUGGAAAAUAAAUACAUUUUCAAUGCAUGUAAAUGUUUAAAGCAUAUAUCUAGAUAUCAAGGGCUUUAAAGGGUUACUUUUUAUUUAGACGUAUAAAAGCGUCUAAAAUAUUAAGUACUAUCCACAUGAAAAGCCUCUAAAAAAUUCAGCAUUUCCACACAAAAAAACGUCGAAAAUAGUCAGCAUUUUCCACGCUUCAAAGUGUCUAAAAAAGUGAGAUUGUAGUAUGGAUUUAAGGCGCGAAAUCUUUUUUCCCACAGUAAGAAGCAUCGGAAAAUAGAUAUAACAUCCACUGUAAAAAGCGUCGAAAAUUUGUAACUGCAAUUUUUAGACGCUUCGUCAAGCGUGGAAAAUAUAUUUUUGACGGUUAAAACUGUAAGCUCCGUGU